rnacentral:lncRNA from 7 species
AGAGCCUAUUGCCCGCAGCACCGUAAGCGCGGCCUUCGGGCUGCUGCUGCCCGCACGGCUUCCCGUCUACCGAGAGCUCUCGAGGAGAAAGCACGAAGUGGCCAAGGAAGGAGGCGAUUCGGUCUGCUGAAAAAUGGCUUCGUAUCCACCCCUGACCCAAAAGGCAGCAAAAACCCCCAGUGAGCAUACCCCUUUUUGCACUGCGGAGCUGGUUUUUUCAUCUGAGAGACACGAGGAAAAAGCAUUGUUUUGUUAGCAAUCAGUGAGCAAUCUUUGCAUCCCUGAAAUCAGACCGGGGCAAUGUUCUGCACGGCUGUCUCCUGCGGUCUGGCUCCUGACAUGCUGAGUUCUGGAAAACUUUCUCACUAUGAGACUCCACCAGGGAAUGAUCUGUCUCACAGACUGGAAGCCUCACAGUUUUCCCUGGUUUCCUGAAGAAGCAGCAUUUGCAGCAGUAAAAAACCCACUGAGAGAACUGAUUCUAUUUGGUCUGUUUCAGCUCUUCAGGACACGGGCUAUCUUUGAGGACAAUCUUCUGACACCUGAUUCUUGGAAUAAAGGACUAUCUGACUGCAACACCAUUGAUUAGCGAUGGACUAAGCUCGCCCAGCAGUGUGAACAAAUUGCCUGGAAAUGUCGUCAUCAGGCUUCAACUGGCACUAUCUCCCUUUCUGUCUGGGUCAUUGAUUUCCUCAUCUCCUUUGCCUUAAAACUCACAUCAUACAUCAAUUUCUGAGUCUCCAGCACUGAAGCAGCUGCACUGUGCCUUUCCUGCUCAACACCAGCAGCUUUCAGCCUCUGAAGUGUCCUUUACUGAUGCUCGUCUGAAGACCUCCUGAAUGUGCCUCAAGUGGCCUCCCUGCCUGCUACAUAAAAGCCUCUGCUCUGCCAGCUUUUGUUUCAUCACAAGAGGGCUUAGAGCUGUUCUGCUCUCGGAAAUUGGGUAAAAUUUGGUCUCCUUCCUACAAUGACUCAGUGUGCUGGAGAAAUGACUCCUGCCUUGUGCGAGCAGCUAUGGCAGGGCACCGAGCUGUGCCAGCCUCUGCUAGCCACCAGCUACCCUCAGGAGAGCCCCUCAGCCAGCAAGGAGCUGGGGCUGCUCUGCACACGGGUCUUAUGAUUGCUAAAUGUAGAGUCCAUUGAUAAAUAAAGCAAAUGCACAAAGUGUGCAAGAAC